CGUUAGGGCUUCGGCAACCUGGGCCACCGACGCCAACUGAUUGACUACAUCCGGCAGGAAGAUAUCGACAUAGUAGGUCUUCAGGAGACGAUUCGUCAGGACUUCUCCAUCCAGGAGUUACGGGGGCUUUCUCGACACCCAUUUGCAUGGCAAUGGCUGCCGGCGUCUGGGUUGUGUGGAGGAAUUCUCCUGGGGGUCAGGGAGGAUUUCUUUUCAGAUGAGGAUAUGGACCGCGCAGAGUUUUGCCUUAGCAUGUCCAUCACCGACCGAUGUGUGAACCUCAAUUGGGAGGUGAUCAUUGUCUAUGGCCUGGCUGAUCACGGGUGGUCGGCGGCGUUCCUGGACGAGCUUCAAGAUAAGGUAGAAUGUUGCACGACCCCAUUUGUGGUGGCGGGUGCUUUCAACCUUAUCAGACAGGAAGCAGACAAAAGCUCGCCCAACAUCGACCGGCGGCGUAUGCGCAUGUUCAACGAUUCCAUAGCAGGGAUGGCCUUAUGUGAGAUAGCCGGGUAG
rnacentral:rRNA from 1 species